CAGCAGCCCGUAGCCCUCUUCGCGAUAGUCCCGAUAGGCUUUCCAGGGCUUGAUCUCCAGGCGCUGGGGGCAGGCGCUCUCCCGGCGGUACAGGGCUUCCAGCAGGCAGGGGGCUGCGAUGUGAACCGAGUCGAAAGCCCCCAGCUUCAUGCGGAAAAUCUUCCCGAAGCGCCUGUGGUACUCGGCCUGGGGGGAGCAGAAGAGACCAUCACCCCCAAACCCCAAACACGAUUCUGCGCUCUGAAAUGAUGGACUGAAAAGCGAAGGGACCAAGGAACAUCAAGUUUUGGCAGUUGGGCUGCUUCUGCCCCAUCUGGCUGACUAACCAUCCACUUAUGAAAAGGGCAUGCGAGUGAAUCACCUGAGAAGGCAAAAUUCCCUUCACUGUUAGUGUUGGCAGCCCUUAAAUUCUGACAAAAAAAAAAAAAUCAUUUAUUGCCACAAGUCUCUUAACUGCAAUCUCCACAGUAAUCCUCGGACACAGCCAAAGGGUUUCAAGCUGAGUGAAGGCAGAAGAGGGGCUUGCACAAAUAAAGCAGCCCAGGACAUCUGUGUGCUCAGAUCUCUGCCCUCUCCCUGCAAGAGAAGUCAGACAGGCUGUGGAUCUUACUGCAAGACAGAGAGCUACCUGUAAGCCGGAGAAUUUCCAGGAAAAAAAGAUGAUUACACCUACAAGAGGACAGUAGCAGCGUGGAAAAACAGGUCUGCCAAGCAAACUGAGAACAAGAUAAUCCUCAGAGAGGGAUCCAGAAAAGGAGAUGAAUAGCUCAAACUCCACAAGCCAAGGAAUCUUCUAGCUGGCCAUGACCUGUUUGAAGUAUCUACCUCUGCAAUAAAUGUUGCGACAUUCAACUAUGGAAGGAGUCUCUAAUUAGUGUGUGUUGUGCUGUUGGCUUGUUCACAUGCAGUUAGCAUGGGCAAAGUAGCACUUGUGCUGUGGUACUGAAAAGCUAUGAAAAUAAUUUCAGUUCCAGUGGUCCUGAUUCUACAAUGUAAAAAGGCGUUUUCAGACUGAAGCAGGGCCAAUCACUGAGCCUCAGCGAGUCUUGUCUGAGCCACUCAGCCACUGUUUCCAAUACCAGAGGUUAUGACAGCCUCCAUCACUGCAAAUUCUUUAAAAGAUCUUGUCAGCGUGGAGCUCUUGCUCUGGAUAACAACCACAUGCACCCAUUCACCAGGGCUUCAGGCUUUGGAUCACGGGCCUCCCUUGUACCGGCUGCAGCUGAGGAUCAUGAACGUGCUGGUGCCAGCACUCUCCCCCGCAGUUGUGAAAUGUUAUGAUGAUCCCAUUUUUUUUGUUUCGUAGCUGCGAGAGAAGCUAAAUAAACUCAAGCAUGCGGAGGCAAUUAUACAGUGUAAACGCCAGUUUCUGUUUAGAAACAG